AUUGAACGCUGGCGGCAGGCCUAACACAUGCAAGUCGAACGAGUGGCGGACGGGUGAGUAAUGUCUGGGAAACUGCCUGAUGGAGGGGGAUAACUACUGGAAACGGUAGCUAAUACCGCAUACCAUCGGAUGUGCCCAGAUGGGAUUAGCUAGUAGGUGGGGUAAAGGCUCACCUAGGCGACGAUCCCUAGCUGGUCUGAGAGGAUGACCAGCCACACUGAAACUUAGCCACGGUCCAGACUCCUACGGGUGGCAGCAGUGGGGAAUAUUGCACAAUGGGCGCAAGCCUGAUGCAGCCAUGCCGCGUGUAUGAAGAAGGCCUUCGGGUUGUAAAAUACUUUCAGCGGGGCGGCGUUACCCGCAGAAGAAGCACCGGCUAAUUCCGUGCCAGCAGCCGCGGUAAUUC
rnacentral:rRNA from 1 species